CUCUCGCUCUGUUUAUCUCAAUAAACAUAUUUUCUCCGAGUUCUUUCUGUUUAUGAAUCUCAAUCUUUGUGGUUUCCAGUUCGAAUUGCUCCCUCUUUAUAUCUUGUUGCUCUUGUUCUAAUAUUUCUUUCUGUUUAUGAAUCUCCAUCUUUGUGGUUUCCAGUUCGAUUUGCUCCCUCUUUAUAUCUUGUUGCUCUUGUUCUAAUAUGUCUCUUUGUUUCAGAAUGUCACACUUCAUCAGCUCCAAGUCCAGUUUUUCUGUCUUCAUUUUCUCACUCUCUCUGUCGAGGUCAUUUCUUUCUUGCCUUAAUUCUGCCUUCAGUUUG
ensembl:lncRNA